GCCAUUUUUCAAUAUUUCAAUGGAAUGAGAAGAAUGGAGGGAAACAAAUAGUUCCUCAGAAUAAAAUAUGAGGUGGCAGCUCAUGCUGAAAGCGCAGACUACAAUCCUCACCUUUCAGUUGCACUUACUAGUGAAGAUGGAUGUUGAAGGGAAGAAAGCAGAGCUCCUGGCUAGAAGUUCCUCUCGCUGUCAGUGUUUGAGUCUUGUUUCCUUGAAUUUCCAACUUUUGGAUGGCAGAUAGGCCCCCCCAAAGAAGCAUAAGUAGGCGAUAAGACCAAAGGAGGAUGAGAGUGCCCAGGGUAUUUUACAUCUCAGCAUCAAGCGACUUCUGCUUUCAACCGCUACACCCUUCUCUUGAGCCAGUUCCCCUCCCAUUAAACUACCACGUUCCAGGUCCUGCACACCACCUCUAGGAUCAAGGAACACUACUUGUUGGUCAAAGGUAUGUUGCUGCUUCAGUGGAGAGCUGACUACCCAAAAGAGUGUUAAAAAUUGAGCAGAAGUAUGAAGCAUUACCUCUGGAAUGCUUUUUCUAAAAGAGCAGUCAUGUUCAUAAGAAAACACUAAUCUGACCAAGUUUCUCCUUUCAACCACUAAAGAUGGAUAUGCUGACUGUCAAGUAUAUUGGGGUUUAUUCUACUGUUUUGUACAUUUUUAUAAAUUGCAUUUCUUAUAUAAAUACCACACCUAUAUGUUUGAAUACCCAAGUGAAAUUGAUCAGUGUUUACCAAAAUUUAAAUAAAAAUAUCAUUAGAAGUAAAAAAUUGUAAUUGAGAAAUAUCAAUUGAAGCCUUACUCCAUAGCCAUUCUCCAUAGAUCAACUAAGUUUGGAGGUCAGUUUCACUCUCAAUUAGGUAAAUGACAUCAGCAUCGUAUGUAAACUCAUCCAAGCCAUAAAUGAAAGCAUAAAUGUUUUACCACUACUCCAUUCAUGCUAACAAGCAAGUUUCCUUGGAUAAAAAAACAGAAGAGACCUCAAGAAAAAAAAGAAGUAAGCCAAGCCUGCUUCACUCUUCAGUGAUGAACUGGAAAGCAUAACAGA